GCUGAUCUCCCAAGGAGCAGCAAGACUCCCACAAACACUGUCCAACACUGGAGGCCAGGCUGCAGGUAUGCAUCUUGGCCAAGCAGUGUGGCUUAGGAAUGUAGGUGGAGAAGCAGUCCAGACCUGCCAACUAGGCUGCUGCAGGGAGCCAUAAAUACCAGACUGGGGAAAGGAAGUGGGCCUGACUCAGCCAAGCCACAUGCCUCUCUUGAACAGCCUGCUUUCUGGAUUCAGCUCUAUCCGGAGAAAUCAGUCGGGGGACACUCCUCAGCUGGCAGCAGGCUGAAGCACACACCACAGAGGGACCUGGGGACGCCCGUUGGUCAGGGCUUUCCUGGCCAGCUGUGGUGAGUUUGUGCCGGUGCUUCCAUUCAAUCAUUCAAUCCUGAAUUCUUCCAGAGGCUUCCUGGGGCCAGAUCCCUCCACAGUUUCAGGAGAAUGCCACAUGAAGACAGAGACACACAGACCUACAAAGGAAGAGCACCACGACAUGACGGAGGCAGAGAUGGGAGCGAUGCUGCUGUACAAGGAACACCAAGGAUUACCGGCCAUCACCAGAGGCUCGAAAGGGGCAAGGAAGGAUUCUACUUCUCAGAGGGAACAUGUUCAGCAGACACCUCAAUUUUAGACUUCUGUCCUCCAGAAUAUGUGAAAGUACAUUUCUGUUGUUGUAAGCCAUCCAGUUUGUGGCACUUUGUCCUGGCAGUCCCAGGAAACUAGGAUCAGAGAGCUUGUGUCUUGAGAUAGCCCAUUCUUCAUGUCUCCUGCAGACCAGGGUCAAGCCCUGCUGCACCGAGUCUCAUACUGAGACUGAGCGUGGAGAUGUGGGAAUCCCCGUGUGAGCCAAGGCCUGGUGGCUGGAAGGAUGGGAUCACGUUUAGGGAAAAUAUGAGUCUGGUUUCAGAGCAGCCAGCCAUGGUGAAUGAGGCUAGAUAGGUAGUCCAGGGCCAGAUUGUGACUCAUUCCCAAACAAAAUAGAAGAGCCUCAGCUUUGGACUUCCUCUUUCUCAGACGGACAAAGCAUGCAAAAGUCACAUAAAUUACCAUGAAGAUGAAAUGUCAGAGCCAACCUCCCUUCCCUCCACACCUUACAUGGACACAUAGUUUUUGUUUUGAAAAUCUCUGCUUCCCUGUUUUUGUUUUUUGUUUUUUUUUUCUGAAAAGUGGAUACCCUCCCUGAUUUCCACCUAUGGUUGGAACAAAUUGAAAGGUAGACAAAGGAGUUAGUAAGAUGGAUAUCAAAAUACAACUUUCAAUAUCAUAAAACCUUGUUGAAAUGCAUGGUGUUUAGAGUCAAAUGCAUCUGACCUCAGAGCAGUUAAAUGGUGAGAAAGUUCAAGUUUGCAGAGCAGACCUACUAAGCUAUUGUCACUGCCUCAUCCUGUGUGGGGUUGGAGGUGAGAAGUCAAGCCAAACCCCCAGGGUCAGGGUUUCUGAUGAAGAUACCCAGAGGGAACCAUCGAACGACAGCUGUUCCUCUAGCCAGAGAGCUUACUAUACCUCCGAAGGGAGGACUCAGAGAAGGGCAGGCCGCCAAAAUGCUCAAGGAAAUUUAGAGGUGUGGAGAAUAAGCUUUCCACCCCUUGAAACCUUAACGCUAUGCCUGCCUGUGUGUGUACGUGACAUCAUUCUGGGCGAGGGAGGGCCUGAGUGCAACAUGGGGAAAGAAGAGAAAAAUAGCCUUCAAAAGCCACAAUGGGGUGGUGGAGGCCUUUGGUGGAACAUGC
rnacentral:lncRNA from 1 species